rnacentral:rRNA from 1 species
UACGAAGGGGGCUAGCGUUGUUCGGAAUUACUGGGCGUAAAGCGCACGUAGGCGGAUCGAUCAGUCAGGGGUGAAAUCCCAGGGCUCAACCCUGGAACUGCCUUUGAUACUGUCGAUCUGGAGUAUGGAAGAGGUGAGUGGAAUUCCAGGUGUAGCGGUGAAAUGCGUAGAUAUCUGGAGGAACACCGGUGGCGAAGGCGGCAUCCUGGACCGGUAUUGACGCUGAGGCGCGAAAGCCAGGGGAGCAAACGGG